rnacentral:lncRNA from 1 species
CACGUGUGAAAAUCUCCCAGCUUGUCAACGAGAUGUGUUCGCAUUGCUUGUUCCCAGUUGUUGCCAAGUGUGGAACAAGUUGUUAUCAUCUUGUAACAAGGUUGAUGAGGCCAACAGACUCGCAACAAGUUGUUCCAACAAGUCUGAUAUCGUCUGCACGUCACAAGUUGAUGACAACAAGCUCGUAGCAACUUGUUACGAACAGCCUGUAUUAGUCUUGUUGGAACAACUUGUAGCAAGUCUGUUACCGUCAUCAACCUUGUAACAAGGUGAUAACAACUUGUUCCAGACUUGUCACAACAACUGGGAACAAGCAGUACGAACACAUCCUGAUAUCGGCUUCACAACAACCACAACUUGUUUGCAGAUCUCUAACAACUUGAGCGUUUCUGCGUUCAAUAAUAAUUUUAAUCGGUUAAAUAGCGAAGCUCUUUCCAACAUUUUCACUCGAGAUAGUACUUGAAAUAAUAAAAAAUGAACUUGAGUGUAAUGUCAGCAAACAUUCAUGGCUUGCAAAGUGUCGCUCGCGAAUAGGACAAAUUCGCUUUUAAAAAAAUGUAUUUCUUACAAAUAAUGUAGUAGUGAUAUCCAUUGGAUAAUGAAAUUAUCUGACUGCCGAAUAUAAUAUCCGGUACCAUUCUAUCCUAGGGGGGAGGGCAUUGCAAAAAUGAUGGGGGGGGGGGGAUUUUCAGGAAAUGAAAAACAAAAGUUAUUUGGAAAAUGUGUGAAUGAAUACACUAUACAUGAAUCUAUUUAAAAAAUCCUGUAUGUUUCGUAUGUUUCCAAGAUAUGACGUAUAACUAUAAAAGGGCAUGCAGUUGAUGCGCAAGGAAAUCCAAGAGAAAUAACGUUCAACAUGGUCAACGAAUUUUUUCGGCCGUCUGCUUGAAAAGAUUGGGACUGGCCUUGAAGGUUGCCUUCAAAUUUCGGUUG